GGCGCCAUAGCCAAGUGGUAAGGCAGAGGUCUGCAAAACCUUCACCCCCAGUUCGAGUCUGGGUGGCGCCUCCA
rnacentral:tRNA from 1 species